rnacentral:rRNA from 1 species
AUACUGAGGGUGCAAGCGUUAAUCGGAAUUACUGGGCGUAAAGCGCGCGUAGGCGGUUUAUCAAGUCAGAUGUGAAAGCCCUGGGCUCAACCUGGGAACUGCAUUUGAAACUGAUAAACUAGAGUUUGGUAGAGGGUGACGGAAUUCCAGGUGUAGCGGUGAAAUGCGUAGAUAUCUGGAGGAACAUCAGUGGCGAAGGCGGUUGCCUGGACCAAAACUGACGCUGAGGUGCGAAAGCGUGGGGAGCAAACGGGAUUAGAUACCCCAGUAGUCC